rnacentral:rRNA from 1 species
GUGUCAGCAGCCGCGGUAAUACGUAGGUGGCAAGCGUUAUCCGGAAUUAUUGGGCGUAAAGCGAGCGCAGGCGGAUUCUUAAGUCUGAUGUGAAAGCCCCCGGCUCAACCGGGGAGGGUCAUUGGAAACUGGGAGACUUGAGUGCAGAAGAGGAGAGUGGGAUUCCAUGUGUAGCGGUGAAAUGCGUAGAUAUAUGGAGGAACACCAGUGGCGAAGGCCGCUCUCUGGUCUGUAACUGACGCUGAGGCUCGAAAGCGUGGGGAGCAAACAGGAUUAGAUACCCCUGUAGUC